rnacentral:lncRNA from 1 species
AGAGAGAGAGAGAGAGAGAGAGAGAGAGAGAGAGAGAGAGAGAGAGAGAGAGAGAGCGUGUGUGUGUGUGUGUGUGUGUGUGUGUGUGUGGUGUAUGUACGCGUUUUCUCACGGUGGGAUGUUUAUUUCGGUGAACGCCAGGAAAGUGCAGUGUUAGAGAUCUGUCUGUGCUAGCUAGCUCGGGAGCAAACACGCCGCAAGCAACUGUAAUCAAUAUGUAACUUUCUUCAUCCUCAGAGAAAUCCCCGCUGUCCCCAGGCACCCAUGCAAGGAAAGUCACUUGAUUAUGAAAGUGUUUCAGAAGAAAAGCAGACGCCGGUGGAGAGAGAGGCAGUGUCUCGAAGGAGGGAACAAGCCUCUCUUAAGACAUGUUUUGCAGCUCCAUGAAACUGAAAUCUGGUUGAACAGUGUUUAGACUUCUACCUUUUAACCAUCUCCUAUCACAGCCCACAUUCAAGCUUUAGAAUCUCAAAGCUUGCUUUUGUCUGAACUGCUUUCACAAACAUCCACAAGUUACGAUCAGUUUUGGUUCUGAUCUAGCAGUUCUGGAGCAGAGUUAAGAGGGACAAAGGAAAACAAUCCGUUGAAAUAGAGAAGUGUGGAAAUAUAUGGCCCUUGUUGGAACUCCAUAUAUAGACCAGAUUGCUCUUGAACACAGAAAUAUCUGCCUGAUUUUUAUUCCUGAAAGCUGAGAUUAAAGUGACAGGCAGUGAAAGAUACUUCUUAGAAAAUGUUGACUCCUCUGGAAUAAAGCACUGCUAUGAGGUAA